CAGUCGCCGCGGUAAUACGUAGGUGGCAAGCGUUGUCCGGAAUUAUUGGGCGUAAAGGGCUCGCAGGCGGUUCCUUAAGUCUGAUGUGAAAGCCCCCGGCUCAACCGGGGAGGGUCAUUGGAAACUGGGAAACUUGAGUGCAGAAGAGGAGAGUGGAAUUCCACGUGUAGCGGUGAAAUGCGUAGAGAUGUGGAGGAACACCAGUGGCGAAGGCGACUCUCUGGUCUGUAACUGACGCUGAGGAGCGAAAGCGUGGGGAGCGAACAGGAUUAGAUACCCCCGUAGUCCCUGUCUCUUAUAA
rnacentral:rRNA from 1 species